rnacentral:rRNA from 16 species
AAGUUACUAGAGAUAGUUUCGUGCCUUCGGGAACUCAAACACAGGUGCUGCAUGGCUGUCGUCAGCUCGUGUCGUGAGAUGUUGGGUUAAGUCCCGCAACGAGCGCAACCCUUGUUUUUAGUUGCCUUUUAUGGAACUCUAAAAAGACUGCUGGUUAUAAACCGGAGGAAGGUGGGGAUGACGUCAAGUCAGCAUGCCCCUUACACCCUGGGCUACACACGUGCUACAUUGGGCGAGACAAUGAGAUGCAAAUCUGCGAAGAUUAGCUAAUCUAUAAACUCGUUCUAAGUUCGGAUUGUAGGCUGCAACUCGCCUACAUGAAGGUGGAAUCGCUAGUAAUCGCUGGUCAGCUACACAGCGGUGAAUUCGUUCCCGGGCCUUGUACACACCGCCCGUCACACCAUGGAAGCUGGUUAUGCCCGAAGUCAUUACUCUAACCAUUCGGAGGAGGGUGCCUAAGGUAGAAUUAGUGACUGGGGUGAAGUCGGAACAAGGUAACCGUACUGG